AGAGUUUGAUCCUGGCUCAGGACGAACGCUGGCGGCGUGCCUAACACAUGCAAGUCGAGCGAUGAAGUUCCUUCGGGAACGGAUUAGCGGCGGACGGGUGAGUAACACGUGGGUAACCUGCCUCAAAGAGGGGGAUAGCCUCCCGAAAGGGAGAUUAAUACCGCAUAACAUUAUUUUCUCGCAUGAGAAGAUAAUCAAAGGAGCAUCCGCUUUGAGAUGGACCCGCGGCGCAUUAGCUAGUUGGUGAGGUAACGGCUCACCAAGGCGACGAUGCGUAGCCGACCUGAGAGGGUGAUCGGCCACAUUGGAACUGAGACACGGUCCAGACUCCUACGGGAGGCAGCAGUGGGGAAUAUUGCGCAAUGGGGGAAACCCUGACGCAGAACGCCGCGUGAGUGAUGAAGGUCUUCGGAUUGUAAAGCUCUGUCUUUGGGGACGAUAAUGACGGUACCCAAGGAGGAAGCCACGGCUAACUACGUGCCAG
rnacentral:rRNA from 1 species